rnacentral:lncRNA from 1 species
GAUGAUGAGGUUAACGAACAAGUUGAAUGUUUUAAACUUGUGUUGCAUGAAUGGAAUGUUGCAAAACAAAAGAAAAGAGAGUUGGCUUUGGCAAACUGGAAAUAGGACGAAGUUAUUGAUAUUUCAAGUUCUAAAGAUGAACAGUUGAAACUAAGGCGCAAAUUUUAUGUUUUUUCCUUCCCUAGAUUGUUUAAAUAAAGUUUGACAUUUUCUAAUGUUGUUAUUUUAAGUUGUUUUUUUUAUGAUUAUCAUUGCUAUGUCUUGAUUUUUCACCGUAAAUAACAUUGUUGUAGUUUCAGUAUAGAGCCAAUAUAACUGAAAAAAAUAAAUUGAAGAUUGUUUAAAGUAAAAUACAUUAGAGCCUUUGCAGGAAAAAUUAUAUUGUGAUGUUAUUACUAAAAUAGAAUUAUAUUGUUAUAUUGAUAAGAUGUUUAGUUUAUAUUGAGGUAUAAAUAAAUGAAGUUGGUGUAAAAGUAAGUAGGUCAUUAGAAAAUGUAAAGUAACUAAUUUUCUAGUUAAUGUCAAUUGGGAUUUGUUACCAAUCUAUAUUGCUAUUUUGGCGUCCUUUUGACCAUCCUGUCCCUGGAAGUUAUUUUAGAAAAAUGACUCAAAUAAUUUUAUAUGUUUCAAAAAGCACCAUGCAUUUCAAUGUUAAACAAACCAAAACCGAAAAAUCUUUUUUUUUUUUAUUAAAUUAAUACAUAAAUUUUGAUUAUUUAGCAGAUAAAAAGAUAAUGUAUAUCCAAAUAGAUUAUGCAUUUUCAAAACAAUAUUUUAAAUAUACAAGCACAUAUAUAUGAACUGUAUCUUAUCCAUUCAUAACAAACUUUAAACAAAUUUAUUAGAAUAUAUAUACUAUUUAUAUAUUUAUAUAGAUACGUCAUUUGCAAACGGAAUUUGUAAUUCAUAUUAACAGAGAAAACUUUCACCAGUUCCACAAUUUGCUCAUACGUAUGUUUUCCAUAUUUUUUAACUAUAUUGUUUUACUUCCUCACAUAUACAUCAUAUUCAAUAACUAUGUUUUUCUUUAUACAUGCAUAGACGAAAUUUGUUCUUCAUAACAACCAUCUAUUCUAUCGACAUCAUCAAAAUAAAACAGGUAUGUUUAUUUUCCUUAAGAUUAUCUCUUAUUUAAGUAAUAUGUAUUGGAAUACUAUGUUUUAUUACUUUAUUGAUUAUAUCAAUGAAGAACUGCAUAGUUGGUUGUAAAUGCUGUUAAGUUUAAAUACUAUUUAAUCAGAGAUUAAAAAGUAUUAUUACUCUUAUACUAUUAAUUAAUUAAUCACAUCUGAUUGACUAAGAAAUUUAAGAUUGAGUUUUUGAAACCAAGAAAUUGACACUUACUUGGAAACAUAGGUUUGUUGCAGAUAGUUUCUUGAGCUCAUUAACCAAUAGAACCCUUACAAAGCUAAUAAUUUUCCCUGAAAAAUCAUAUAUAAUAUAAAUAUCAAACAAAUUGUAUGUAAUAUAUGUCUAUGUAUGAUUGGUAACAUGAUCCUCAACAUAUUUUAUCUAUUAGGAGAAUCCAUAUUCCAAUUCCAAUAUUGAUUCAUAAAAACAAAAUAACCAUAAAAUCCAUAAAUCUAAAGAACAAUAUUUUUUUCAUUUAAACAACUUCAUAAAUUUAGUUACCUCUCCAUGUAGCUUUUUUCAUCUAAGAAAUGAAAUAUCGGACAAUCAAGAUCUGUCGGCAACCCAUGCAGUCUUGAUACAUCAUACGAACACCAAAAAUUGUUAAAAAAAAUGUCAAUAUGUCAACAUAUAUACCAAAAUCAUGUUCAAUAAAAAUAAUUACACAUAUAUAACUUAUCUCAGAACCGUUUAAGGAGCCAUCAGCAGUAAAUAAGACCUAUGUGUGAGGAAGAACCGAUUUUGAGUUAAAAAAACAUUUUCUGAUGGUUUCUCUUAAGAUUUUCCUGAAAAAAAUACAAAAAUUGAUUAGUUUAUGAAUGUGAUUUAGGCCUUUAUUUUUCAUUAUAUAUCAUCAAAACAAGGAUAAUGUAAUACGCAUUAUUUGAUGUUAACUGAGAUGAAACAAACAUAGCCCAGGGGCGGAACUAUAAAUAUUUAUUAGGUGUAGCACCAAAAAGAUUCCCGAACAAAAACAUGUAAAGGGCCUGUGGUUUUCAUUGUGCCUUUGGAGUCAGGAAGUCUACUCCCUGGCGGUCCUAAGGUUUUCAAUGAUCUGGAAAAAAUGACAUAAUAAUGCCCUUUUAUCAUACAAAUUUACAAGGUAUACCUGAUUUUAUAAAGGAACAAUAUAACAAAGUUUUUUAUUUAAGAAUUUAUAAUUCCCACAAACUCAAAUUUAGAAACUUCACUUAAAACAUGGACUUCUUGAAGCAAACAUAUUUAAACAAGAUAUGCUAUUAAACAAAAACUAAAUAUCAAAACAUAAAACCUGCAAUAAAUUUUGGAGUCAGGAAAUCUACUCCAUUCCCCGAUUAAUUUUUAAUCCUAUAACAUAUAACAAUAUUCAAUAAAACCUUGUAAAAUAAGUCCUACCUUUUUAACAAAUUCUAAAUUACAAAGGACAACAGAACCAAAGAGCAUAAAACCUUUAUGAUCCAAAGUAGGAUAGAUAUGGAAAGGCAAUAAAAUUCCAUAAGGAUUGAGUCAAUAGUCAACAGAUUAACAAAAAGAAAGAAAUGACUGAAAGGAGGAAAAGGCAUCUAUGAAGCUUCUCAACAAGCCAAUCAAAAUAAUAAACCAUAUCAUUUUGGGGUAACCUAAAAUUAGACAACAAUAUUAAUUAAAAGGAAACACACCUACAAUCAAUUAAUAGUCAACGGAUUAACCAAUUUGUUUUACCUUUUUAUGUUAAUCACCGGUAAUGGAACUGAAGAUGGAGAAACAACGAGAGUGAAGGCACUGAGGAUUGAGUAAUUAGUGGAUAAUUUAUUUCAUAUCUUCAUCUCUGUCCCAACUUUCUUCAAUUGUUAAUGCUUCGUACAUUAAAUCCUUAAACUGUACAAUCUGUGAAUGGAUAUUCAAAAUCCACAUUGAAAUCCAAAUAGAUAAAUUAAGUGAUGUUAAUGUAUAGAACUAAAAAGUUCAAAAUUAGGGAUUUGAUACAUACGUUCUAUUAAGAAUUUAUUGCAUCAGAAGCGUGAAUGUUAGUAUUUCUAGGGUUUGUCGAUCUAUGAAAUUAAACCAAUUGAACCCUAACCACUUUCGAAUACGGAUGCAAUUAUGAAUAAACAAGAACUUCCUGCUAAUCUCUCCUUCAAAUUUCUGAAAAUUAUACAAUAAAUCUUUGGGUUAGGGGUUUUCUGUUAGGUAUAUGGUAGAGAUAUGGAUAUAGAGGAUGAAAAUUUAACUAAAAGAAAGAUUCAAAGCCUGUAAAUUAAGAAGCAGACGCGUUUCAGCAACAAGAGAAGCAGCAACCAAUAAGAACCGACACAACCUCAACAUAACCCUGUUGGGUUUCUCCAAUCGUCGUGUAGAUCUAGAUGAGGGAUAGGGGUUGAAGAUCAGAAGGAUUCGGUGGUCGUGGUGGUCGCUAAUGGUUUCUAUUGAUGAAGGUUGUACGCGUGGAUGCUGCGUUUGGAUGUUAAACGGAUCAUCUAAGGACGACAUAUCUCUUCUUAAGUUUGUAGGAGGUUAUCAAUUAUGAGAAAGAGUAUAUGCGUUUGUAAGAGAAAGAGUGGUAGAUGAGUGUCGGCUUCUUUAGGGUUAGACAAAGAAAGGAGAGUGUCAGCAUCUUUAGGGUUACACAAAGGAAGGAGAGUGUUGUUAGAAAAAGGAAGUCAUAACUUUAUUUUCCUAAAAAUAAAAAUCUAUUUACCAGAUUAAAUGUAUGAAUGUAUUUAUUCUGAAGAAUGUUUAAAAUAUAUAUUGGAUUGAUUUUAUUUGGUUUUUAAAUACCGAUCCAACUUUUCCAUAACUCAUUUGUAUUUUCANAUAUAUAUAUGAUAAAACAUGUAAACAUUUAAAUUUUUAUUAUUUUCAAUAAGUUGAUGAUUUAUUUUGUUAAACAAAAUACAAGAAAUUGUUAUGUGAAAUAUAACUUUAAUUGAAAAAUAUUUCAGUGAUGGAUGAUCAUAUUACUGUUAAAAAUUUUUGACAUUGCGAAGCGUUUACAUAUGGUGGAACAUAUUAGCUGUUCGGGUUUUAUAUGUGUGGGACGACGUUGAAAAUAAUCGAGUCCUGAUUUGGUUGAUUGAUCGUAACGUAAGUAUGAAUACAAUAAAAUAAAUAUGACAUUUUUUUGGCUAAUUUUCAUUUUAUUAUUUACAUAAUUGGUAAUAUAUUACAUAUCCAGAGAGACAAAAUGAUCGCCAUCGUCCCACAAUGUUUGAGGCAAACAGUUUUGAACAUGAAUUUGGUUGGACGUGUAUUGUCCUUAAAUCAUUUCCAAGUUGAGCAGUUUUACGAAGAUCACCCCACGUAUUAAAGUUACAGAAUUUUUUUUGGUGAUUGGGCAAUAUUAAUAAAAAUUAACACAAUAUUUACUCGAUUGGGAAAUGAUGUCGCCAAUUCAUUUCCACAUUAUCCAUUAUGUUCUUCUAUCACAAGCCUCGCAAGAGAUUUUAGUCGUCGAAGAAUGAUCAUCGGUACAUUUAUAUAUUUAAUUAUAUAUAUUUUGUUUUUAUCAAUUGCAUACAACAAAUUAAAAUUAUAGUAAUUUUAAUAUGCUUUAGAUGUUAUUGGAAAAAUCGUUUGGGGAAGACGAAUCACGUCAUUCUAUGCAUUUGAAUUAUUUCUCCAAAAUGAGAUGUAAGUAUAUUUAAAUAUAUUAACCAAUUUUCAUUGUUAUUAUGUGUUUUAACAAAAUUUUGUUUAAAUGAAUAGGGGACAUAUUAUCAAGUUGAUAUUCAAUCACGUACCGAUGAGCUUUAUGAUACCACUGUAUCUUGCAAUAUUCAAUCAAUCCAUAAUUUAUGUCUCUAGGGUCAAGUUGGUCCACUUAAAUUUGUGUAAGUUAACCAUGGGCAACAUUAUAUAUAGUUUCAUUCUUUACAUGUUAUUUAUUUUAAUAUACCUUACUAACUAUAUAUUACAUGUCCAUACAGACAAUAUUUUGGUUUCUACUAUAUUAACUGAUGUCACGUUGCAUCCAAGGACACCGGAAGCUGAGCGAAUUAGGAUUCGAGAUAGAGAGAAUAAUUAAUUUUUCUAUAGUUAUUUGUUAGCGGAUCAUGUAGUAGUUAUUUGUUUGCGGAUUAUGUGGUAGUUAUACGUUUGCUGAUUUUUAGAAGGUUGUUUGCUUGCGUACUUUUUAUAUUUAUUUUUUGCUGAAUUUGUGACAUGGAUUUUUAGUAUUUUAUAAUGAUUUAAAACUUUUAAGUUUAUAAAUUUUAGUUUCUUUGUCUGACUAUUUUGUUUAUGUUAUUUAGUUUUCUUCUUUCUGUUUAUUAGAUAUUUAUACAUUUGUAUAAUAAGUAAAACAAAUAAUCUACCAAAUAAAAUUUACAAUAUCAUUUAAAUAUAAAUCAAUCAAUAUGCAUUCUUUCAAUUAUUGAAAAAAACUAUUAAAACAUGAAAGAAAUAUUUACCGAAAAAAACUAAUGAAACUUGAAAUAAAUAUAUAUUAACAAAAAACACAAAUUGUUAAAACAUUACUUCAAGUAUUAAAAAAAGCAGUAUAAUUUAAUGUAAGUAUCAAUCUCACAUAUAAAUAAUUAGUUCAACUCAAUCGGUAUUCAAUUAAUACGGUUAUAAGUAUUGUAUAUAAAAAUUAUUUUUUAUUACAAUGUGUUAUAAAAAAAUAAAAUUAUAUAUUAUUAAUUUCAUGUUUUUACAGUUGGCAUGAUGAUUGUAGAUAAAGAAAAUAGGCCUAAUGAGGCUAUCCAACUUGAUGUAAAUACACAAAAGGGUAUGUUUCAUAUGCGCAACAUGAUUAAUACGUUAUCUUUAUGCAUAAUUCAUCCAAAAAAAUUAUUGCAGAAAAAAGAAAAUUAUAUAAUAAGACAUAUUAUGAACGACUAAAGGAGAAGAAGAAAAUGAGACAAACAGCUAAUGGAGAAGUAAGUAGUCAAAACAUGACACCUAUGACAAAUGUGUCUACAACACAGAGGACCCUGGCUGAUAUUACUAAUGUAACUCCUACAAGUGUAUUGGAUUUUGCUCAAAGGAAAUCGAUUAAGAACAGAAAUGCAUAUCAACGACGCAAGGAACGAAACUCACCGACAACACCUAUUGAAAUUAGUCAUCAGGAUCCAUAUAGCUUUGUUUAUAAUGGUAUCCCUAAAGAACAUCGUGUUUUGAAGGUACAACAACCAUGUGUUCAUUGUGGAGCAAAACGAUUUCAGUUUGAAUUCCCUACCUUUUGUUGCAUGGAUGGUAAGACAAAGUUAUCACAUUCCUCUAUUCCUGAAGAAUUACUCAACCUCUUCACAUCCAGAAACGAAUUAGGUAGGACAUUUAGACAAAUGAUACGUUGCUACAACAGCAACUUUUCUUUCGCAUCAAUUGGCGUUAAUUAUGACAAAACAUUGACAAAUAUGACAUCUGGAGUAUACACCUUUUGUGUGAAUGGAGGAAUAUAUCAUAGAAUCGAUUAGUUGACUCCAAGAGAUGGAAUACCUCGGUACUUACAAUUGUAUUUUUACGACGCUGAUUAUGAGAUGUCACAUAGACUCCAAAGGAAGAAUAUUGAUAAAGAAAUUGCUGGAAAGUUGAUUCGUGUUCUUGCUACAAACCCAUACGUGAAGACAUUUCGAAGACUUGCUGAUCUAGUGCCGCUUGACAAUUAUAGAGUCACUUUAAAUGCAUCGGUAGAACUUGAUCAAAGGGUAUACAACCGACUAACCACAUCUGAGGUACCAUAAUAAUUAUUUUCUACUAAUUAUAAAAUAAAUAUACCACGUAUGAAAUACAACAGUGUAUAUUACACACCAUAUUUAAUCAUGUCGUUUGUAUCGUAAAAACCUCAGGUCGCUGGUAUUUGGGUUGAAGGUAACGACAACAUAGCCGCAUAUAAACGAAGUAUUAUCGUUUAUGGAAAAUCUGAGAAACCGCAAACAAUUCAAUCUUAUUGGGGAUGUUAUGAUCCAUUGUGUUAUCCUUUAUUUUUUCCUAACGGUGAGUCUGGAUGGCAUUUAAAAAUCCCAAGACAUGGAUUUUCCAUCAAUGAUAUUAUUAAUGACGAUGAAGACAUCGGGGAUGAUUUAGAAGGUACACAUAUCAUAACUUUUAAAAUUUUAGUUAAGUUAACAAACAUUACAUUUUGUACACAACAUUAAUUCUUAAUUUUUUUUUCACGACAUCAACAUUGGUUAGACUCUAAUACAAAAAAA